rnacentral:rRNA from 1 species
GUGGAGGACCGAACUGGUUGUCGUUGAAAAGACUUCGGAUGACCUGAGGGUAGGGGUGAAAGGCCAAUCAAACUGGGAAAUAGCUCGUACUCCCCGAAAUGCAUUUAGGUGCAGCGUUGAUGUGAGUUUAAUAGAGGUAGAGCUACUGAUUGGAUGCGGGGGUUUCAUCGCCUACCAAUUCCUGACAAACUCCGAAUGCUAUUAAAUGCUCAUCAGCAGUGAGGGUAUGGGUGCUAAGGUCCAUAUCCGAGAGGGAAAGAACCCGGACCAUCAGCUAAGGUCCCCAAAUAUAUGCUAAGUUGACCAAACGCGGUCUGACUGCACUGACAGCUAGGAUGUUGGCUUGGAAGCAGCCAUACAUUUAAAGAGUGCGUAACAGCUCACUAGUCGAGCGGUUGGGCAUGGAUAAUAAACGGGCAUAAGCAUAUUACCGAAGCUAUGGGGUUAUUACUCAAGUAAUAUACCGGUAGGGGAGCAUUCUAUAGGCGUAGAAGCUAAAGGCGUGAGCCAUAGUGGAGCUGAUAGAAAAGAAAAUGUAGGCAUAAGUAACGAUAAGGCAGGCGAGAAACCUGCCCGCCGAAAGAUCAAGGUUUCCUCAGCUAUGCUAAUCAGCUGAGGGUUAGUCGGGGACUAACGCGAACCCGAGUAGGGGUAGUGGAUGUACAACGGGUUAAUAUUCCCGUACCAUUAAUCUGAUAAAAGUGACGGAAUGAGAUAGCUACCGCGUACUGACGGAAUAGUACGUUUAAGGAGUUGUUAUGACUUCAAAAGUACACCGAGGCUUCGGCUGAAGUGAGAGUGGCGACAACGUUUCCAAGAAAAGCGAAGAUUAAUGCCCGUACCGUAAACCGACACAGGUGAUUGGGAAGAGAAUUCUAAGGCGCUCGAGAGAUUCAUGGCUAAGGAACUAGGCAAAAUAGACCUGUAACUUCGGGAGAAAGGUCGCCUAUCUAGCGAUAGGCCGCAGUGAAAAGGUCCAAGCGACUGUUUAUCAAAAACACAGGACUCUGCAAAAUCGAAAGAUGAGGUAUAGGGUCUGACACCUGCCCGGUGCUGGAAGGUUAAGAGGAGAGCUUAGCGUAAGCGAAGGUUUGAAUUGAAGCCCCAGUAAACGGCGGCCGUAACUAUAACGGUCCUAAGGUAGCGAAAUUCCUUGUCGGGUAAGUUCCGACCUGCACGAAUGGUGUAACGAUUUGGACACUGUCUCGGCCAUGAGCUCGGUGAAAUUGUAGUAUCGGUGAAGAUGCCGAUUACCCGCAGUGGGACGAAAAGACCCUGUGCACCUUUACUAUAUCUUCGUAUUGGUCUUGGAUAAGUGAUGCGUAGGAUAGGUGGGAGACUAUGAAGCAGCUAUUCCGGUAGUUGUGGAGUCAUUGUUGAAAUACCACCCUUUGCUUAUCUGAGGUCUAACUUUGCUAAGAGCAAAGGACAAUUCGUGGAGGGUAGUUUGACUGGGGUGGUCGCCUCCAAAAGAGUAACGGAGGCUUCUAAAGGUUCCCUCAGCACGCUUGGUAACCGUGCGUAGAGUG